GAUGAACGCUGGCGGCGUGCCUAAUACAUGCAAGUCGAACGCAGUGGGGACGGGUGAGUAACACGUGGGUAACCUCCCAUCAGAGGGGAUAACACUUGGAAACAGGUGCUAAACCGAUACUGAUGGAUGGACCCGCGGUGCAUUAGCCAGUUGGUGAGGUAACGGCGCACCAAGGCCACGAUGCAUAGCCGACCUGAGAGGAUGAUCGGCCACACUGGGACUGAGACACGGCCCAGACUCCUACGGGAGGCAGCAGUGGGGAAUCUUGGGCAAUGGACGAAAGUCUGACGGAGCAAUGCCGCGUGAGUGAAGAAGGUUUUCGGAUUGUAAAACACUGUUGUUAGAGAAGCGGUAUCUAACGAAAAAGCCACGGCUAACUACGUGCCAGCAGCCGCGGUAAUAC
rnacentral:rRNA from 1 species